AGUGAACGCUGGCGGUAGGCCUAACACAUGCAAGUCGAACGGCAGCACAGUAAGAGCUUGCCCUUACGGGUGGCGAGUGGCGGACGGGUGAGGAAUACAUCGGAAUCUACUUUUUCAUGGGGGAUAACGUAGGGAAACUUACGCUAAUACCGCAUACGACCUACGGGUGAAAGCAGGGGAUCUUCGGACCUUGCGCGAUUGAAUGAGCCGAUGUCGGAUUAGCUAGUUGGCGGGGCAAAGGCCCACCAAGGCGACGAUCCGUAGCUGGUCUGAGAGGAUGAUCAGCCACACUGGAACUGAGACACGGUCCAGACUCCUACGGGAGGCAGCAGUGGGGAAUAUUGGACAAUGGGCGCAAGCCUGAUCCAGCCAUACCGCGUGGGUGAAGAAGGCCUUCGGGUUGUAAAGCCCUUUUGUUGGGAAAGAAAAGCAGCAGGUUAAUACCCCGCUGUUCUGACGGUACCCAAAGAAUAAGCACCGGCUAACUUCGUG
rnacentral:rRNA from 1 species